UCUGCAGAAUAAGCACCGGCUAACUACGUGCCAGCAGCCGCGGUAAUACGUAGGGUGCAAGCGUUAAUCGGAAUUACUGGGCGUAAAGCGUGUGUAGGCGGUUCGGAAAGAAAGAUGUGAAAUCCCAGGGCUCAACCUUGGAACUGCAUUUUUAACUGCCGAGCUAGAGUAUGUCAGAGGGGGGUAGAAUUCCACGUGUAGCAGUGAAAUGCGUAGAUAUGUGGAGGAAUACCGAUGGCGAAGGCAGCCCCCUGGGAUAAUACUGACGCUCAGACACGAAAGCGUGGGGAGCAAACAGGAUUAGAUACCCUGGUAGUCCACGCCCUAAACGAUGUCAACUAGCUGUUGGGGCCGUUAGGCCUUAGUAGCGCAGCUAACGCGUGAAGUUGACCGCCUGGGGAGUACGGUCGCAAGAUUAAAACUCAAAGGAAUUGACGGGGACCCGCACAAGCGGUGGAUGAUGUGGAUUAAUUCGAUGCAACGCGAAAAACCUUACCUACCCUUGACAUGUCUGGAAAGCCGAAGAGAUUUGGCCGUGCUCGCAAGAGAACCGGAACACAGGUGCUGCAUGGCUGUCGUCAGCUCGUGUCGUGAGAUGUUGGGUUAAGUCCCGCAACGAGCGCAACCCUUGUCAUUAGUUGCUACGCAAGAGCACUCUAAUGAGACUGCCGGUGACAAACCGGAGGAAGGUGGGGAUGACGUCAAGUCCUCAUGGCCCUUAUGGGUAGGGCUUCACACGUCAUACAAUGGUCGGGACAGAGGGUCGCCAACCCGCGAGGGGGAGCCAAUCUCAGAAACCCGAUCGUAGUCCGGAUCGCAGUCUGCAACUCGACUGCGUGAAGUCGGAAUCGCUAGUAAUCGCGGAUCAGAAUGUCGCGGUGAAUACGUUCCCGGGUCUUGUACACACCGCCCGUCACACCAUGGGAGUGGGUUUCACCAGAAGUAGGUAGCCUAACCGUAAGGAGGGCGCUUACCACGGUGGGAUUCAUGACUGGGGUGAAGUCGUAAC
rnacentral:rRNA from 1 species